UACGUAGGGAGCAAGCGUUGUCCGGAUCUACUGGGUGUAAAGGGUAUGUAGGCGGUUCUGAAAGCUUGGUGUGAAAGGCUCGGGCUCAACCGGAGCAGUGCCGUUGAUACUGGUUGUCUUGAAUGCGGUCAAGGCCGGCGGAAUGUGGCGUGUAGCGGUGAAAUGCAUAGAUAUGCCACAGAACACCGAUAGCGAAGGCAGCUGGCCGGGCCUGCAUUGACGCUGAGGCACGAAAGCGUGGGGAUCGAAC
rnacentral:rRNA from 1 species